UCACUGUAUCCUUUUUAUUUUUCAGUAUGUGCAACGUAUAGAGAAACAAUUUCUUUUGUAUGCCUACUGGAUAGGCUUAGGAAUUUUGUCUUCUGUUGGGCUUGGAACAGGGCUGCACACCUUCCUCCUUUAUCUGGGUCCACAUAUAGCUUCAGUUACAUUAGCUGCUUAUGAAUGCAAUUCAGUUAAUUUCCCCGAACCACCCUAUCCUGAUCAGAUUAUUUGUCCAGAUGAAGAGGGCAUUGAAGGAACCAUUUCUUUGUGGAGCAUCAUCUCAAAAGUUAGGAUUGAGGCCUGCAUGUGGGGUAUCGGUACAGCAAUUGGAGAGCUACCUCCAUAUUUCAUGGCCAGGGCAGCUCGCCUCUCAGGUGCUGAACCAGAUGAUGAAGAAUAUCAGGAGUUCGAAGAAAUGCUGGAACACGCAGAGACUGCACAGGUAAGAACAUUAGGAAAAA
rnacentral:lncRNA from 1 species